GAUGAACGCUGGCGGCGUGCUUAACACAUGCAAGUCGAACGAAGCACCUCUCCCGAAGAUUGACACAGCUUGCUGUAGAUUGAUUCAUUUGAGGUGACUGAGUGGCGGACGGGUGAGUAACGCGUGGGUAACCUGCCUCAUAGAGGGGGACAACAGUUGGAAACGACUGCUAAUACCGCAUAGUAAGAAGAAUUCGCAUGUUUUCUUCUUGAAAGAUUUAUCGCUAUGAGAUGGACCCGCGUCUGAUUAGCUAGUUGGUAAGGUAACGGCUUACCAAGGCGAAGAUCAGUAGCCGGCUUGAGAGAGUGAACGGCCACAUUGGGACUGAGACACGGCCCAAACUCCUACGGGAGGCAGCAGUGGGGAAUAUUGCACAAUGGGGGAAACCCUGAUGCAGCGACGCCGCGUGAGUGAAGAAGUAUUUCGGUAUGUAAAGCUCUAUCAGCAGGGAAGAUAAUGACGGUACCUGACUAAGAAGCCCCGGCUAACUACGUG
rnacentral:rRNA from 1 species